UUUUGUAUAAUGGGUCAGCGACUUAUAUUCUGUAGCAAGGUUAACCGUAUAGGGGAGCCGCAGGGAAACCGAGUCUUAACUGGGCGUUAAGUUGCAGGGUAUAGACCCGAAACCCGGUGAUCUAGCCAUGGGCAGGUUGAAGGUUGGGUAACACUAACUGGAGGACCGAACCGACUAAUGUUGAAAAAUUAGCGGAUGACUUGUGGCUGGGGGUGAAAGGCCAAUCAAACCGGGAGAUAGCUGGUUCUCCCCGAAAGCUAUUUAGGUAGCGCCUCGUGAACUCAUCUUCGGGGGUAGAGCACUGUUUCGGCUAGGGGGUCAUCCCGACUUACCAACCCGAUGCAAACUACGAAUACCGAAGAAUGUUAUCACGGGAGACACACGGCGGGUGCUAACGUCCGUCGUGAAGAGGGAAACAACCCAGACCGCCAGCUAAGGUCCCAAAGUCAUGGUUAAGUGGGAAACGAUGUGGGAAGGCCCAGACAGCCAGGAUGUUGGCUUAGAAGCAGCCAUCAUUUAAAGAAAGCGUAAUAGCUCACUGGUCGAGUCGGCCUGCGCGGAAGAUGUAACGGGGCUAAACCAUGCACCGAAGCUGCGGCAGCGACACUAUGUGUUGUUGGGUAGGGGAGCGUUCUGUAAGCCGUUGAAGGUGGCCUGUGAGGGUUGCUGGAGGUAUCAGAAGUGCGAAUGCUGACAUAAGUAACGAUAAUGCGGGUGAAAAACCCGCACGCCGGAAGACCAAGGGUUCCUGUCCAACGUUAAUCGGGGCAGGGUGAGUCGACCCCUAAGGCGAGGCCGAAAGGCGUAGUCGAUGGGAAACAGGUUAAUAUUCCUGUACUCGGUGUUACUGCGAAGGGGGGACGGAGAAGGCUAUGUUGGCCGGGCGACGGUUGUCCCGGUUUAAGCAUGUAGGCGGAUGUUCCAGGUAAAUCCGGAACGUUAUCAACGCUGAGGUGUGAUGACGAGGCACUACGGUGCUGAAGUGACAAAUGCCCUGCUUCCAGGAAAAGCCUCUAAGCAUCAGGUAACAUCAAAUCGUACCCCAAACCGACACAGGUGGUCAGGUAGAGAAUACCAAGGCGCUUGAGAGAACUCGGGUGAAGGAACUAGGCAAAAUGGUGCCGUAACUUCGGGAGAAGGCACGCUGAUAUGUAGGUGAAGUGGUUUACCCAUGGAGCUGAAAUCAGUCGAAGAUACCAGCUGGCUGCAACUGUUUAUUAAAAACACAGCACUGUGCAAACACGAAAGUGGACGUAUACGGUGUGACGCCUGCCCGGUGCCGGAAGGUUAAUUGAUGGGGUUAUCCGUAAGGAGAAGCUCUUGAUCGAAGCCCCGGUAAACGGCGGCCGUAACUAUAACGGUCCUAAGGUAGCGAAAUUCCUUGUCGGGU
rnacentral:rRNA from 1 species